CUUCUCGGCGCCAUUUUGUCUCGGCAGCGGUGGCCGUAGCUCCAUCGCAUUUUAUGUUUCUGGCGAGAAGGAAACGGAGUUUUCAUCAGGUAGAUUGGUUUUUGUGCGGCCGUCCUCCACCGUUUCUUCCAGGACAGCACCUAGUAGUGGCCGGAGGAGUCUCAGAGCUGUCAGAAAGAAAUAAUCGGCUGGGCGUGGUGGCUCAUGCCUGUAAUCCCAGCACUUUGGGAGGCCGAGGCGGGUGGAUUACCUGAGGUCGGGAGUUCAAGACCAGCCUGACCAACAUGGAGAAACCCCGUCUAUACUAAAAAUACAAAAUUAGCCCGACGUGGUGGCCCAUGCCUGUAAUUCCAGCUAAUUGGGAGGCUGAGGCAGGAGAAUCGCUUAAACCUGGAAGAUGGAGGUUGUGAAUAAGACUGAUUUUAUGGGAAAAUUAAGCAAAUGCUCCAGUUUGAAAAACGUGGAUCUGCGAUCUGUUUGUGAGUGGUAUUCAGUUAACAGAACAACAAUUAUUUUGUAUAAGCCACAUCAGAGACAACUGAAGAUGAAAAAACUACCAUCCCUGUAUAUAACUGAUUUCUGCUGUGCACCAACAAGAACCUGCUUUAAAUUUCCAUGCCAAUUUACAACCCCCAUACUGUACCAGGCAAGGUUUCUAUGAGUAAAGAAAUAAAAGCAAAUAGAAUCUUAUCAGAUAAGUGCUUUUAUAAGUCUAAAUAUAUUUUAUUCUUUGGAAUCUCUAAAGCAAAAUUUAAACUUUUUUUUUUUUUUUUUUUAGGUACCAGCAUCAAGAUGAUUUAUGGUAAUAAGGUACUCAGUCUUUGCUUAAAAUAAAUUUUACAUUUAUCAAAGUAAAAUUUA